UACGGAAGGCAGCAGUGGGGAAUAUUGCACAAUGGGCGCAAGCCUGAUGCAGCCAUGCCGCGUGUAUGAAGAAGGCCUUCGGGUUGUAAAGUACUUUCAGUCGUGAGGAAGGUGUUAAGGUUAAUAACCUUAGCAAUUGACGUUAGCGACAGAAGAAGCACCGGCUAACUCCGUGCCAGCAGCCACGGUAAUACGGAGGGUGCGAGCGUUAAUCGGAAUUACUGGGCGUAAAGGGCACGCAGGCGGUUAAUUAAGUUGGAUGUGAAAUCCCCGGGCUUAACCUGGGAAUGGCAUUCAAGACUGGUUAGCUAGAGUCUUGUAGAGGGGGUAGAAUUCCAUGUGUAGCGGUGAAAUGCGUAGAGAUGUGGAGGAAUACCGGUGGCGAAGGCGGCCCCUGGACAAAGACUGACGCUCAUGUGCGAAAGCGUGGGGAGCAAAC
rnacentral:rRNA from 1 species